rnacentral:rRNA from 1 species
GAUGAACGCUGGCGGCAUGCCUAACACAUGCAAGUCGAUCGGUAAGGCUCUUCGGAGUACACGAGAGGCGGACGGCUGAGUAACGCGUAGGAACACACCCUGCAGUGAGGGAUAAGACACCGAAAGGUGUUCUAAUACCGCAUACGGUCUUCGGAUUAAAGCAUUUAUGCGCUGAAGGAGUGGCCUGCGUCAUAUUAGAUAGUUGGUGAGGUAAUGGCUCACCAAGUCGAUGAUGUGUAGCUGGUCUGAGAGGAUGAUCAGCCAGACUGGAACUGAGACACGGUCCAGACUCCUACGGGAGGCAGCAGUGAGGAAUAUUUCACAAUGAGCGAAAGCUUGAUGGAGCAAUGCCGCGUGCAAGAUGAAGGCCCUCGGGUUGUAAACUGCUUUUAUAAGAGAAGAUUAUGACGGUAACUUAUGAAUAAGGGACGGCUAACUACGUG